rnacentral:lncRNA from 1 species
UGAUAGGUAUAUUUAUUUAGGUUAAUUACAGCUAAGUUUACAUGGCUAGUUAAUAUGCUUUUAUAAAUUGCAAUUUUUAUUAAUUUCCAAAUUAAACAUGUGGCAUCCAAUAUCAUAAACUAAGAUUAUACUGGUGUGUUUAUAUUAUUUUAGAAUUUUUUGUUUUAGACACAUGGCAUUUGUUAUCCCACUGUAAGUUAAAACUAGUUGUAAAAUUAAAAAAUUUAUAUUGGAACUUCUUUUUCUUUUAACAUUCAUGUUUGUUUAUUUAUACUAUCUUAGAAUUUGCUGCUUUAGAGGCAUAGCAUUUAGUGUCACAUUGUAGGUUUAAAUUGGUUGUAGAAUUUAUAUUGUAACUUGCAUAUUUAUUUAGUUGAGUUUAAUCUAAGUUUAUAUCUGAUGUGUUUGUAUUAUUUUAGAAUUUACUGUUUUAGACACGUGGCAUGUGGUAUCCCACUAAUUAGCUAUUUUAAACAUGUGACAAGUGGUAUGACACUGUAUUGAUGUAUGUGAAAUGUAUAGAGUCUUUCAGUUAUCAGAUAAUA